GGUGAUUGGAGGAACAAUUGGAUCAUAGGCUUGAUAUGAUGAAUAAAUAAAUGGCCUGGUGACAUUUGGAGUGGCAGCCUUCCAGAUCUGCAAUUGCCAUAAAACUGAAGGGACAAAUAAUGAACCUGGGGUGGAAACACUGGGUUUAGGGACCAUAGAUUUGAUAUUACCUCACCAUCUGAUCAUCAGCCUUGAUUUUCCUCUCUUGGCUGCAUGCAGGGGCUAAAUGCCAGUUCCUUAUCAACUUCAUAAUAGAGACAAGAAGGUGAUGCUUGGAAAGUCCACCAAAGUUUAUGAAGCCUGCAGCAACCGAUAUGCUUAACCUGUACUGUAAUCUUGUUGUUCCAAGUGUCCUUUUAUUAUUAUUAUAAUUAUUAUUUGCUUUUGCUUUUUGGGGGGCUAUACCUGGCAUGUGGAAGUUCCCAGGCUAGGGGUCCAAUUGGAGCUGUAGCUGCUAGCCUACGCCACAGCCACAGCAAUGCGGGAUCCAAGCCUCAUCUGUGACCUACACCAGAGCUCACGGCAACGCCAGAUCCUUAAUUCAUUGAAUGUGACCAGGGAUCAAACCCUAGAAUUCCCCAAAUGUCCUUAUAACUUAAAAAAGAAAGGAAAAGAAAAAAGAAUAAUCUCAUCUUCUUAGGCCAAUGGAGAUGAUCACUUUUGCUUUGAAUAUGUCAACAAAGGAGCAAGUCAGACCAAGGGAGGAGACCCUGGAGUUCCUGUCGUGGCACAGUAGUUAACGAAUUCAACUAGGAACCAUGAGGUUGCAGGUUCGAUCCCUGGCCUUGCUCAGUGGGUCGAGGAUCCAGCGUUGCCGUGAGCUGUGGUGUAGGUUGCAGACGCGGCUCGGAUCCUGUGUUGCUGUGGCUCUGGCGUAGGCCGGUGGCUAUGGCUCCAAUUAGACCCCUAGCCCAGGAAUCUCAUAUGCCUCAGGAGCGGCCCUCAAAAAAAAAAAAAAAAAAAGAGAGGAGACCUUAUGGUCUGAAAAGGAAAAUGAGAACCUUAUUCCUCUUCUAGGAAGAAUUUAAGAAAGAUGAUUUUUUUUUAAUAAUUUUUUUUUUAUUUUCCCACUGUACAGCAAGGGGGUCAGGUUAUCCUUACAUGUAUACAUUACAAUUACAUUUUUCCCCCACCCUUUCUUCUGUUGCAACAUGAGUAUCUAGACAAAGUUCUCAAUGCUAUUCAGCAGGAUCUCCUUGUAAAUCUAUUCUUUUUUUUUUUUUUUUAAAUCUAUUCUAAGUU
rnacentral:lncRNA from 1 species